rnacentral:rRNA from 1 species
GGCUCACCAAGGCAACGAUGCGUAGCCGACCUGAGAGGGUGAUCGGCCACACUGGGACUGAGACACGGCCCAGACUCCUACGGGAGGCAGCAGUAGGGAAUCUUCCGCAAUGGACGAAAGUCUGACGGAGCAACGCCGCGUGAGUGAUGAAGGUUUUCGGAUCGUAAAGCUCUGUUGUUAGGGAAGAACAAGUACCGUUCGAAUAGGGCGGUACCUUGACGGUACCUAACCAGAAAGCCACGGCUAACUACGUGCCAGCAGCCGCGGUAAUACGUAGGUGGCAAGCGUUGUCCGGAAUUAUUGGGCGUAAAGGGCUCGCAGGCGGUUUCUUAAGUCUGAUGUGAAAGCCCCCGGCUCAACCGGGGAGGGUCAUUGGAAACUGGGGAACUUGAGUGCAGAAGAGGAGAGUGGAAUUCCACGUGUAGCGGUGAAAUGCGUAGAGAUGUGGAGGAACACCAGUGGCGAAGGCGACUCUCUGGUCUGUAUSAA